AUUGAACGCUGGCGGCAGGCCUAACACGUGCAAGUCGAGCGGAUGAAGGGAGCUUGCUCCUGGAUUCAGCGGCGGACGGGUGAGUAAUGCCUAGGAAUCUGCCUGGUAGUGGGGGAUAACGUCCGGAAACGGGCGCUAAUACCGCAUACGUCCUGAGGGAGAAAGUGGGGGAUCUUCGGACCUCACGCUAUCAGAUGAGCCUAGGUCGGAUUAGCGAGUUGGUGGGGUAAAGGCCUACCAAGGCGACGAUCCGUAACUGGUCUGAGAGGAUGAUCAGUCACCCUGGACCUGAGACCCGUUCCAGCUCCCUACGGGAGGCAGCAGUGGGGAAUAUUGGCCAUGGGGCGAAAGCCUGAUCCAGCCAUGCCGCGUGUGUGAAGAAGGUCUUCGGAUUGUAAAGCACUUUAAGUUGGGAGGAAGGGCAGUAAGUUAAUACCUUGCUGUUUUGCCGUUACCAACAGAAUAAGCACCGGCUAACUUCGU
rnacentral:rRNA from 1 species